rnacentral:lncRNA from 1 species
GUAAUACCCCUUGUAGGUGGAUUUAAAGUAUCCCACAUCGGAAAGAGGUUGAAAGGGUGGGGGCCUUAUAAGGUCAAGCCCUAGACACCCCAGUGGACGCGUUUUGGGAAGACAGGGUAGUAAAUCCCUUGACCCAGAAACAAAACCGUGAGGGGAAGGACGCUGGGCGUGAACCCAAAGCGGACAAUAUUCACUGGUGUGGGCCCAGAGGAUGUUACAAUUGGUAUCAGAGCCUGGGCCUCAUGAGUACGGUGUGCUGAGCGAGGACGCUCAGGCCUUAUGGGGGGAAGAAUGUAAUACCCCUUGUAGGUGGAUUUAAAGUAUCCCACAUCGGAAAGAGGUUGAAAGGGUGGGGGCCUUAUAAGGUCAAGCCCUGGACACCCCAGUGGACGCGUUUUAGGAAGACAGGGUAGUAAAUCCCUUGACCCAGAAACAAAACCGUGAGGGGAAGGACGCUGGGCGUGAACCCAAAGCGGACAAUAUUCACUGGUGUGGGCCCAGAGGAUGUUACAAUUGGUAUCAGAGCCUCGGCCUCAUGAGUACGGUGUGCUGAGCGAGGACGCUAAGGCCUUAUGGGGGGAAGAAUGUAAUACCCCUUGUAGGUGGAUUUAAAGUAUCCCACAUCGGAAAGAGGUUGAAAGGGUGGGGGC